GGGAACCUUUAAACUUCAAACGUAAAAUUGGGACAUAUGUACCGCGUUUCCCUUGUGGGAUGUGUUAUUGACACUGAAUAGGUUUGCUGCUGCCCAUGUCAAGGAAUCCAACUGAGUCUUGUUGUGUCGCAGGCUCCUGUCCAACAGUCCAAUGAUGAUGUCUGUGCUGUUGUAUUUUGCAGCGGGGCUGGUGUUUUGCACUAAAAACCCAGCUUGGGCUCUUGAAAUCAUCUCCACCAAGGAGGACUAUUAUGCAGUCAAAGAAUCAAACGUCACGCUUUCCUGCAAAUUCACACAUGACAUCGAUGACAUCUCAAACAGAAUUAUAAUUAGGUGGUAUUUUAAGUCUCCAGAAGAAAAGCAGACAGAGAUUUUAAUGUAUCAUGGAGGCCAACUUGAUAUUGACCCAAACUACAGCAGGGUUCACUUCACAACUCCUGAACCCGGUCAUGGAGAUGCUUCCAUAGAGAUUAGUGACCUGCGUCUGUCAGAUGAGGGGAUCUACCAGUGCAGCCUAGAGUGCCAGCUGAAUGUACAUUCUGGAAUCACCGUAAUCAAAGACAGGUACAUGAACCUGAAAGUCAUCUAGAAGCUGAGUGCACCGGUUUGUGCCAUAGAAGGCGAUCCUGUGUGAGGCAAUGAUGUGACGCUCCAAUGCCAAUCCUCACAACCCCCCCCCCCGGUUGAAUUACAGCUGGAAAAAGAUGAGUGAAAACCAGAUGUCGCCUCCUAACGCCAGUGGGGACGCCAUAGGAGGGAACUUGAUUGUAAAAAGAAUCCCCGAGGACAACUGUGGAAGCUAUCGCUGUACGGUGGAAAAUCUGGUUGAGAUCCUACUACCGUGUCACUGCAGCGGCAAUGUCAAUCUUUAUCCUUUUGGUGGUCUUUGUUGUCAGUGCUACUCAAGAGACAAAACUGAACAAUAA